UGUCUUCGGGGCGGAGUGUAAUUCUCCACCGGUGGUUAAAGUCCACGAACAGACAUUUUGUCUGCCGAGCCUGUGAAAUUCAGGCACCGACGGUUAAAGUCCGGAUGAAAGAAGGC
rnacentral:ncRNA from 1 species